AUUUAUAUAUAUAAAUUGAUUAAAAAAUACAAUUUAUAAUUAAAUGUUUAAUAUAUAUAUAUUUAUAUGUUUAUAUUUAUCAAUGUAUUAUAUUUAGAUUUUAGUAUCUAUUUUUAGACACUUAUAUUUUUAAUAUUUUAAAAAAAAAAAACAAAAAUAUUACUAUAGAUGUUACUUCUUAGAUUUAAUAAUUUAUAACAUAUAUAUUAAAAACAUAGACAUUUUUGUAAAUU
rnacentral:tRNA from 1 species